rnacentral:rRNA from 1 species
UACCGGGCGACCGGAUGCGGAUCUCGAAAGCCUGUCCCAGUUCGGACUGGAGUCUGCAACCCGACUCCACGAAGUUGGAUUCGCUAGUAAUCGCGCAUCAGCCAUGGCGCGGUGAAUACGUUCCCGGGCCUUGUACACACCGCCCGUCAAGCCAUGGGAGCCGGGGGCGCCUGAAGUCCGGGACCGCGAGGACCGGCCUAGGGCGAAACUGGUAACUGGGGCUAAGUCGUAACAAGGUAAC